GGAUCCAGACUUUGAUUAUGGCUCAGGAUGAACGCUAGCUACAGGCUUAACACAUGCAAGUCGAGGGGAAACGAUAUUGGAAGCUUGCUUCCGAUAGGCGUCGACCGGCGCACGGGUGAGUAACACGUAUCCAACCUGCCCAUCACUUGGGGAUAACCUUGCGAAAGUAAGACUAAUACCCAAUGACGUCCAUAGAAGACAUCUGAAAUGGAUUAAAGAUUCAUCGGUGAUGGAUGGGGAUGCGUCUGAUUAGCUUGUUGGCGGGGUAACGGCCCACCAAGGCGACGAUCAGUAGGGGUUCUGAGAGGAAGGUCCCCCACAUUGGAACUGAGACACGGUCCAAACUCCUACGGGAGGCAGCAGUGAGGAAUAUUGGUCAAUGGGCGAGAGCCUGAACCAGCCAAGUAGCGUGCAGGAUGACGGCCCUAUGGGUUGUAAACUGCUUUUAUAAGGGAAUAAAGUGAGUCUCGUGAGACUUUUUGCAUGUACCUUAUGAAUAAGGACCGGCUAAUUCCGUGCCAGCAGCCGCGGUAAUACGGAAGGUCCGGGCGUUAUCCGGAUUUAUUGGGUUUAAAGGGAGCGUAGGCCGGAGAUUAAGCGUGUUGUGAAAUGUAGACGCUCAACGUCUGCACUGCAGCGCGAACUGGUUUCCUUGAGUACGCACAAAGUGGGCGGAAUUCGUGGUGUAGCGGUGAAAUGCUUAGAUAUCACGAAGAACUCCGAUUGCGAAGGCAGCUCACUGGAGCGCAACUGACGCUGAAGCUCGAAAGUGCGGGUAUCGAACAGGAUUAGAUACCCUGGUAGUCCGCACGGUAAACGAUGGAUGCCCGCUGUUGGUCUGAAUAGGUCAGCGGCCAAGCGAAAGCAUUAAGCAUCCCACCUGGGGAGUACGCCGGCAACGGUGCAACUCAAAUGAAUUGACGG
rnacentral:rRNA from 1 species